GGUUAAGCGACUAAGCGUACACGGUGGAUGCCCUGGCAGUCAGAGGCGAUGAAGGACGUGCUAAUCUGCGAAAAGCGUCGGUAAGGUGAUAUGAACCGUUAUAACCGGCGAUGUCCGAAUGGGGAAACCCAGUGCAAUUCGUUGCACUAUCGUUAACUGAAUACAUAGGUUAACGAGGCGAACCGGGGGAACUGAAACAUCUAAGUACCCCGAGGAAAAGAAAUCAACCGAGAUUCCCCCAGUAGCGGCGAGCGAACGGGGAGCAGCCCAGAGUCUGAAUCAGCUUGUGUGUUAGUGGAACGGUCUGGAAAGUCCGACGGUACAGGGUGAUAGUCCCGUACACCAAAAUGCACAGGCUGUGAACUCGAAGAGUAGGGCGGGACACGUGGUAUCCUGUCUGAAUAUGGGGGGACCAUCCUCCAAGGCUAAAUACUCCUGACUGACCGAUAGUGAACCAGUACCGUGAGGGAAAGGCGAAAAGAACCCCGGCGAGGGGAGUGAAAAAGAACCUGAAACCGUGUACGUACAAGCAGUGGGAGCACCUUCGGGUGUGACUGCGUACCUUUUGUAUAAUGGGUCAGCGACUUAUAUUCUGUAGCAAGGUUAACCGUAUAGGGGAGCCGCAGGGAAACCGAGUCUUAACUGGGCGUUAAGUUGCAGGGUAUAGACCCGAAACCCGGUGAUCUAGCCAUGGGCAGGUUGAAGGUUGGGUAACACUAACUGGAGGACCGAACCGACUAAUGUUGAAAAAUUAGCGGAUGACUUGUGGCUGGGGGUGAAAGGCCAAUCAAACCGGGAGAUAGCUGGUUCUCCCCGAAAGCUAUUUAGGUAGCGCCUCGUGAACUCAUCUUCGGGGGUAGAGCACUGUUUCGGCUAGGGGGUCAUCCCGACUUACCAACCCGAUGCAAACUACGAAUACCGAAGAAUGUUAUCACGGGAGACACACGGCGGGUGCUAACGUCCGUCGUGAAGAGGGAAACAACCCAGACCGCCAGCUAAGGUCCCAAAGUCAUGGUUAAGUGGGAAACGAUGUGGGAAGGCACAGACAGCCAGGAUGUUGGCUUAGAAGCAGCCAUCAUUUAAAGAAAGCGUAAUAGCUCACUGGUCGAGUCGGCCUGCGCGGAAGAUGUAACGGGGCUAAACCAUGCACCGAAGCUGCGGCAGCGACACUAUGUGUUGUUGGGUAGGGGAGCGUUCUGUAAGCCUGCGAAGGUGUGCUGUGAGGCAUGCUGGAGGUAUCAGAAGUGCGAAUGCUGACAUAAGUAACGAUAAAGCGGGUGAAAAGCCCGCUCGCCGGAAGACCAAGGGUUCCUGUCCAACGUUAAUCGGGGCAGGGUGAGUCGACCCCUAAGGCGAGGCCGAAAGGCGUAGUCGAUGGGAAACAGGUUAAUAUUCCUGUACUUGGUGUUACUGCGAAGGGGGGACGGAGAAGGCUAUGUUAGCCGGGCGACGGUUGUCCCGGUUUAAGCAUGUAGGCUGAUUGUCCAGGCAAAUCCGGAUAAUCAAGGCUGAGGUGUGAUGACGAGGCACUACGGUGCUGAAGUAACAAAUGCCCUGCUUCCAGGAAAAGCCUCUAAGCAUCAGGUAACAUCAAAUCGUACCCCAAACCGACACAGGUGGUCAGGUAGAGAAUACCAAGGCGCUUGAGAGAACUCGGGUGAAGGAACUAGGCAAAAUGGUGCCGUAACUUCGGGAGAAGGCACGCUGGUGUGUAGGUGAAGUCCCUGCGGAUGGAGCUGAGACCAGUCGAAGAUACCAGCUGGCUGCAACUGUUUAUUAAAAACACAGCACUGUGCAAACACGAAAGUGGACGUAUACGGUGUGACGCCUGCCCGGUGCCGGAAGGUUAAUUGAUGGGGUUAUCCGUAAGGAGAAGCUCUUGAUCGAAGCCCCGGUAAACGGCGGCCGUAACUAUAACGGUCCUAAGGUAGCGAAAUUCCUUGUCGGGUAAGUUCCGACCUGCACGAAUGGCGUAAUGAUGGCCAGGCUGUCUCCACCCGAGACUCAGUGAAAUUGAACUCGCUGUGAAGAUGCAGUGUACCCGCGGCAAGACGGAAAGACCCCGUGAACCUUUACUAUAGCUUGACACUGAACAUUGAGCCUUGAUGUGUAGGAUAGGUGGGAGGCUUUGAAGCGUGGACGCCAGUCUGCGUGGAGCCAACCUUGAAAUACCACCCUUUAAUGUUUGAUGUUCUAACGUUGGCCCCUGACCGGGGUUGCGGACAGUGUCUGGUGGGUAGUUUGACUGGGGCGGUCUCCUCCCAAAGCGUAACGGAGGAGCACGAAGGUUAGCUAAUCCUGGUCGGACAUCAGGAGGUUAGUGCAAUGGCAUAAGCUAGCUUGACUGCGAGCGUGACGGCGCGAGCAGGUGCGAAAGCAGGUCAUAGUGAUCCGGUGGUUCUGAAUGGAAGGGCCAUCGCUCAACGGAUAAAAGGUACUCCGGGGAUAACAGGCUGAUACCGCCCAAGAGUUCAUAUCGACGGCGGUGUUUGGCACCUCGAUGUCGGCUCAUCACAUCCUGGGGCUGAAGUAGGUCCCAAGGGUAUGGCUGUUCGCCAUUUAAAGUGGUACGCGAGCUGGGUUUAGAACGUCGUGAGACAGUUCGGUCCCUAUCUGCCGUGGGCGCUGGAGAAUUGAGGGGGGCUGCUCCUAGUACGAGAGGACCGGAGUGGACGCAUCACUGGUGUUCGGGUUGUCAUGCCAAUGGCACUGCCCGGUAGCUAAAUGCGGAAGAGAUAAGUGCUGAAAGCAUCUAAGCACGAAACUUGCCCCGAGAUGAGUUCUCCCUGAGACUGUAAGGCUCCUGAAGGAACGUUGAAGACGACGACGUUGAUAGGCCGGGUG
rnacentral:rRNA from 1 species